rnacentral:rRNA from 1 species
AAAGUCUGGUGCCAGCAGCCGCGGUAAUUCCAGCUCCAAUAGCGUAAAUAUUAAAAUUGUUGCGUCUAAAAAGCUCGUAGUUUGAAAACUUGCCUUGGCUUACAAUCGGUCCUUCAGGGCCACCGUUUGUUGGGUGCAAAUAUCGAUGACUGUUUUUGCCGACUUCAUUGUUUGGCUUACAAGAGUUAUCACAUAUCACUUUGAUUAAAUUAGAGUGCUUAAAGCAAGUGUGUUACUUGGAUAUAAAUGCAUGGAAUGAUGGAAUAUGUUGUUGUUCUAUUUGUUGGUUUUUGAACGAUGAAAUGAUUGAAAGGAACUGUUGGGGGCAUUCGUAUUGUUGUGAGAGAGGUGAAAUUCUUAGACCACAGCAAGACGAACUACUGCGAAAGCAUUUGCCAAGAAUGUUUUCAUUGAUCAAGAACGAAAGUUAGAGGUUCGAAGGCGAUCAGAUACCGCCCUAGUUCUAACCAUAAACGAUG